CGCCUGCAAUUAAUAACUAAACUAUUGGUGUUGUGGUUGUAAAAUGGUUGGGCUUAGAAACACUCAUUUUUGUCGGUUGAUAUAGUUUAAAUUUUUUCAAGUAUAAUUUAUGAACUCAAAGCAAAGAAAAAAAAACAUUAAGUGGUGAGAGUGACGGUGUUGAGUACAUAUAUAUGGAAUUAUGGGCUUAACUUUGAGGAAUUUCAAUUCGGAUAUUUAUCGUCGUUUACAGUGUUAUAGAAGGAGAUUUCAAUACAGUCAUAACCAGUAGGGGUUAGAUUACAUAAGAAUAAAUAUGUUUUCAAUUUAAAAGCUUUACAGCACAUCCUACAGUAAUAUUUUAGUGCCCAAAUGUUUCUUCAAAAUUUCUAACUAACAGCUUUGUUAUUGUAUUUUGAAUUAAAAAGGUCCGUUUAUAACCUUUUGUGGAGAAGACGACAUGGACUGUCGGACUAUAGUCCAACUGUGCAACUCUGUGAGAUUAGCCAACUAAGCGUUCAUAUUUGUCGGUGCAAUUAAACUGACUGUCUGUUUUUAUGGUAAAAACAUGUGUAACAAGAUAUGGCCAAACAAAAAUUUCAACAGAUUGGGUUUGUUGCUUUUCCGUCAGUGGUUAGUGGAUGUUUAAAUGUGCAGUUAAUGAAAAAUCACCCAAAAUAUCAGCCAAACAACGCUAAAGACAAAAAUAGGCAUCAAAAACAUGACUUAUGGAUAUCCUUCAGAGUACUUGUUAUUCAAACACGAACCUAAAGCUUGCAAGGCUGCCCUGCUGCAAAAGUUCUAGAAAAUAAGAAAACUAAAAUUCAUAGAAAUCUAUUUUUUUCAAUGUGCAAAAGCCAAAAUAUUUAGAAACUGUGAGCAAACUUUCAAGCUGGCUAACUUUGGUGACAAACUAAAUGAGGAUCCACAUAAAUAGAAAAAUUGAAAAUACACAACAUUCUACAACUCAAAACACAAAUUUUUUUGACAUAGGUGGAUAUAUGAAGUGUGAGGAAGCAUUUAAUGUGAUUAUCGUCAUACUAUCUAUUUAAUAUGAAAUAUACGUUGAAAUCAAAA